UAGCAUAUCAAUAAGCGGAGGAAAAGAAACCAACAGGGAUUGCCCUAGUAACGGCGAGUGAAGCGGCAACAGCUCAAAUUUGAAAUCUGGCCUCCUUUGGGGGUCCGAGUUGUAAUUUGCAGAGGGUGCUUUGGCGUCGGCAGCGGUCUAAGUUCCUUGGAACAGGACAUCACAGAGGGUGAGAAUCCCGUACGUGGUCGCCUGCCUUCGCCGUGUAAAGCCCCUUCGACGAGUCGAGUUGUUUGGGAAUGCAGCUCUAAAUGGGAGGUAAAUUUCUUCUAAAGCUAAAUACCGGCCAGAGACCGAUAGCGCACAAGUAGAGUGAUCGAAAGAUGAAAAGCACUUUGGAAAGAGAGUCAAACAGCACGUGAAAUUGUUGAAAGGGAAGCGCUUGCAGCCAGACUUGCUCGCAGUUGCUCAUCCGGGUCCGCCCGGAGCAUUCUUCUGCGAGCAGGCCAGCAUCAGUUUGGGCGACCGGAUAAAGGCCUCUGUCAUGUAUCUUCCUUCGGGAAGACCUUAUAGGGGAGGCGUAAUGCGGUCAGCCCGGACUGAGGUCCGCGCAUCUGCUAGGAUGCUGGCGUAAUGGCUGUAAGCGGCCCGUCUUGAAACACGGACCAAGGAGUCUAACAUCUAUGCGAGUGUUUGGGUGUCAAGCCCGGGCGCGUAAUGAAAGUGAACGGAGGUGGGAACCCUCUUCGGGGGGCGCACCAUCGACCGAUCCUGAUGUCUUCGGAUGGAUUUGAGUAAGAGCAUAGCUGUUGGGACCCGAAAGAUGGUGAACUAUGCUUGAAUAGGGUGAAGCCAGAGGAAACUCUGGUGGAGGCUCGCAGCGGUUCUGACGUGCAAAUCGAUCGUCAAAUUUGGGCAUAGGGGCGAAAGACUAAUCGAACUAUCUAGUAGCUGGUUCCUGCCGA
rnacentral:rRNA from 1 species